UCCAGACUCCUACGGGAGGCAGCAGUCGGGAAUAUUGCACAAUGGAGGAAACUCUGAUGCAGUGACACCGCGUAUAGGAAGAAGGUUUUCGGAUUGUAAACUAUUUUAGACAGGGAAGAAGAAAGACAGUACCUGUAGAAUAAGCUCCGGCUAACUACGUGCCAGCAGCCGCGGUAAUACGUAGGGAGCAAGCGUUAUCCGGAAUUAUUGGGUGUAAAGGGCGUGUAGGCGGGAGCGCAAGUCAGAUGUGAAAACUCAGGGCUCAACCCUGAGCCUGCAUUUGAAACUGUGUUUCUUGAGUGCUGGAGAGGCAAUCGGAAUUCCGUGUGUAGCGGUGAAAUGCGUAGAUAUACGGAGGAACACCAGUGGCGAAGGCGGAUUGCUGGACAGUAACUGACGCUGAGGCGCGAAAGCGUGGGGAGCACACAGGAUUAGAUACCCUCGUAC
rnacentral:rRNA from 1 species